ACGAACCGUGCGAACGUUAUUCGGAAUCACUGGGCUUAAAGCGCGUGUAGGCGGAACGGCACGUCGGUCGCUGAAAGCCCCCGGCUCAACCGGGGAACGGGCGCCGAUACGACCGCUCUGGAGGAACGUAGGGGGAGCUGGAACUUCCGGUGGAGCGGUGAAAUGCGUUGAGAUCGGAAGGAACGCCCGUGGCGAAAGCGAGCUCCUGGACGUUUACUGACGCUGAGACGCGAAAGCCAGGGGAGCGAACGGGAUUAGAUACCCCGGUAGUCCUGGCCGUAAACGAUGGGCACUGGGUAGGGGGCUCGCCGAUGGGCUCCCUGCCGUAGGGAAACCGUGAAGUGCCCCGCCUGGGGAGUAUGGUCGCAAGGCUG
rnacentral:rRNA from 1 species